ACAGCAGUAGCCACGGUAAUACGAAGGGUGCAAGCGUUACUCGGAAUUACUGGGCGUAAAGCGUGCGUAGGUGGUGGUUUAAGUCCGUUGUGAAAGCCCUGGGCUCAACCUGGGAAUUGCAGUGGAUACUGGGUCACUAGAGUGUGGUAGAGGAUAGUGGAAUUUCCGGUGUAGCAGUGAAAUGCGUAGAGAUCGGAAGGAACAUCUGUGGCGAAGGCGACUAUCUGGGCCAACACUGACACUGAGGCACGAAAGCGUGGGGAGCAAACAGGAUUAGAUACCCCUUAGUCCCUGUCUCUUAUACA
rnacentral:rRNA from 1 species